AUGGAGAAAAAAGUGCUUGAUUACAUUCUAGUUCCAUUAGGCCUUCUUGCAAUGGUGUCAUACCACUUGUGGCUUCUCUAUCAAAUCAUAAAUUACCCUAACAAGACUGUCAUCCACAUCAACACUGUCCAUCGUGGCUUCUAGGUCCGUGCUAUGAUGGCAGAUGUGUCCAAGAAUGGUAUUCUUGCCAUACAAACACUGCGAAACAAUUUAAUGGCAUCGAUCCGAUUAGCUUCCAUAGCAACAAUGCUUAGUUCAGUCAUUGCUGUUUUGAUGAGUAUUGGCAACCAGGAUAUUGGUGUGCUUCUUAGUUACUUUACUUUUCAGCGUGCAGUCUAUGAGGUACUACAGCCAUGCAAGUUUCCUCAUCACUAUUGUUCCCCAUGAACACCACAACGCUUAUGUUGCCAAGACAGUGAUUAAGGGGAGCUAUUUCUGGUCUUUAGGAUUGCGUGCCUUCUACUUCUCCUUUCCUUUGUUUUUGUGGAUCUUUGGUCCCAUCCCUAUGUGCUUGUCCUGCUUCGUCCUUGUCAUCUUGCUUUAUUUCCUGGACUUCACAUUUGAUGACCACUACUCUUUUUUUUUUUGGCUGAAUAAGACAUGA